GAUGAACGCUGGCGGCGUGCCUAAUACAUGCAAGUCGAGCGAACGCGCGAGAAGCUUGCUCCUCUGAUGUUAGCGGCGGACGGGUGCGUCACACGUGGAUAACCUACCUCUAAGACUGGGAUAACAUCGGGGAACCGGAGCUACUACCGGAUGAUAUUUUGCACCGCAUUGUUCAAACGUGAAAUACGGUCUUGCUGUCACUUAUAGCUGGAUCAGCGCUGCAUUCGCUAGUUGGUUAGGUAACGGCUUACCAAGGCAACGAGGCAUAGCCGACCUGAACGGGAGAUCGGCCACAUGGGAACAGAGGAAGGGUCGAGACACCGACGGUAGGAAGCAGUAGGGACUCUUCCGCGAGGGGCGAGAGCCUGACGGAGCAACGCCGCGUGAGGGAUGAAGGACUUCGGAUCGGAAAACUCUGUUAGUAGGGAAGAACAUAUGUGUAAGUAACUGGGCACAUCUUGACGGUACCGAAACAGAAAGCCACGGCUAACUACGUG
rnacentral:rRNA from 1 species